rnacentral:rRNA from 1 species
UACGGAGGGUGCAAGCGUUGUCCGGAAUUAUUGGGCGUAAAGAGCUCGUAGGCGGUCUGUCGCGUCGGCUGUGAAAACCCGGGGCUCAACCCCGGGCCUGCAGUCGAUACGGGCAGACUAGAGUUCGGCAGGGGAGACUGGAAUUCCUGGUGUAGCGGUGAAAUGCGCAGAUAUCAGGAGGAACACCGGUGGCGAAGGCGGGUCUCUGGGCCGAUACUGACGCUGAGGAGCGAAAGCGUGGGGAGCGAACAGG